CUUACUAAUAGUGUGUAACAAAUUAUUGGGUUUUAGAAAUUCAAUUUAGUUCUCAACAUGUGCCGCUUCACCACCUGCAUACACAUGAGUCACACCCACACCCGCUCUCUCUGCCAGCUCCACCUUUUAUCCUCCCCCUCAUUAGCCAACACCUAAUUACAUACUAAUUGGCUCAGAGAACACAAGCUUGUUAUUGCACUAAAAACACUCAGAGCUCCCCCGCAGACAGAUUCUCAUGAAAACCAAAUAUAAAAGGAGUUGGCCCACUGCCUGGUUUUC
rnacentral:lncRNA from 1 species